rnacentral:lncRNA from 1 species
GAAAUGCUAGGAUUCUCUUCUUUACUGAUUAUUACCAGAAAGUGAACUGCUCAUCGUCACCAGUGACAGAAGGCUGACACCUGGCAUCAAAGAGAUGUGAGUGAAAUUGGAAAUUCAAUGCUCUUGGAUUGGAGUCCUGGACUCAGGCCAAAUACUACAAGGGUAGAGAUUCUUUUUAUUUUCUCUCUGAAGACCAAAAGGACAUUUUCUUCUGGCCUGGCCAGGGCUACCAAAGAUGUGAACAAGUUUACAAACUAUGUUCUCUGGGAGGAAGAUAUUUUAUUUCUACAGACAACCAGCCUGGGUACAGGCAGAGUACGAAUUAACAGCACGGAUAUUCAGUGUGUUGGUCCUCACAAAUUCUUUUCUAUUACUCAAAAAGUUGUGGUAGGAGACUUUUAGGGGUCUCACACGUGGCACAUGCAUCCACAGCAUAUGAACUGUUAUCGCAUCAAUAUGUUAUAUAUAAGACAUGCAUAAAAAUCUACAUUUUAACAGGAGAUCAAAUGAUAACAGACGUAGGAGCCCUACCACACUCCAGUGGACGGUCUGGUGCACCUGAGAAGAGCACGCCUCCACUUGGGAGCCACUGGCAUUAAUGCACCUGGUCGUCCACAGGACAGGAGGGUGAUUUCAUACGGGCAUCUUCUUUGCUUUCUCCACAGCCUGUGAGUUAGACGGUGCAGGGGCUCUUGUCUACACCAUUUUCAAAUGAGGAAUCAGGAUUAUAAGGAUGAAAUGACCUGCCCAAGAUACUUUAUGAAGGCAGUACUCAUCACAGGUUUUCUUCUUCAGAAACUCUAUUUCAUCUCAGACUACAUUACGAUAAUUCUACUUUUUUAAAAAAGCAUUUUUGAAUUAGAACUUAAAUUCCCAGGAGUAUAAAGAAAGUAAGAAGAUACAUGUCUGCACCUUGACACACAUGGAUCAGCUGCUGUCCUCACGGUCACCUGCACUUCUGUGGCUGUCGCUGCAUCUUUAUGUGCUCCAUCACCGCUGCCAAUUCCUUUGGAGCUGUUGCUGUUGCCAUCCUCACCAUGGAAGCACCACCAAUGGCAUUUCCUUUCUUCACUCAAACCCCAAUCCUGAAACAAAAGUUUUUUUAGAAACCUGGCCUUGUUUUGUUUUAAAUAAAGUGAUUUUGGUUUCAGAAGUUUCAUAAACCAAUGUAACCUAUGUUAUACACUGUGUAUGUCCAACGUGCCCAAACACAAGACAACCCUGAAUAGGGGAUCUG